GCAAACACCUCCUUUUUGCGAGUAUCAGUAUUAUUGACAGAAAGUAACUUUCAUGGUGUUGGGCUCUAAUGUUGGGCUGCAACAUCAUCAAACGUACCUGUGUUAAACUUUGUAUGUCAUGGCCGCUGGAAAAAUCAAUGGAAAAAUUGGAUUUGAAGGAAAGACUCCAUUCCUUAUUGGUGUUGCUGGAGGCACAGCGAGCGGGAAGUCUACAGUUUGCAAAAGAAUAAUGGAACAGCUUGGUCAAGUUGAAAUUAACCAGAAAGAAAGACAAGUGGUGACAAUCAGUCAAGAUAGUUUCUACCGAGAGCUGACGGAAGAUGAGAAAGUUAAAGCGGUCAAAGGACUUUAUAAUUUUGACCAUCCAGAUGCCUUUAACGAGCAGUUAAUGUACCAAACCUUGAAAGAUGUACUCGCUGGUCAACAAUGUAAAGUUCCAGUUUAUGACUAUCUCACCAAUUCAAAGUGUAACGAUCAGUUCAUCACAAUCUAUCCAGCAGAUGUUGUUUUAUUUGAGGGUAUCCUUGUGUUUUACUUUCCGGAAAUCCGUGACUUAUUUCACAUGAAACUGUUUGUUGACACGGACUCUGACACUAGAUUAGCUCGAAGAGUUCCUCGAGAUAUUAAUGAAAGGGGUAGAGAUAUAAAUCAAGUUUUGCAACAAUACAUGAAUUUUGUCAAACCAGCCUUUGAGGAGUUUUGUCUUCCGACCAAAAAAUUUGCUGAUGUCAUUAUUCCCCGAGGAGCGGACAAUAUUGUUGCCAUUGAACUGAUUGUGCAGCAUAUCAGAGAUUUCUUGAAUCGGCAGCGAACAGAACAUGUAACUGAGUUUUCAACUUUCGGUACACACAGAUCUCCAAACAAGCAAUUUUCUCGUCCACACUAAUGUUUAUUUCAACAGAUCGUACUUUUUCCUGGUGUUUUGGUCUCCUUCUACUUCCUCUGAGGAACGUUAACAGAAAUUCUCAUAAUUCUUUCCCCUAUGGCUAACUAGAUUUAUUCUCAACAAUGUAACAAAGGAGAACAUUUAAAGUCAAGAAAAAAAGAAGAAAAGAAAAAAACUCAGAUGUAUACCAACAAAGAUAUUUUAUUACCAUGAUAUCAUUCCAAAUAGACUCGUUUCUAAAUUUAAGAUGUACAUUGAUGAUGUACAAGAUGAUCUUUUCUCUAGGGCAAACUAGAGAUUUAAGAGAAAAUUUUAUUACCUAUAGUUCAGUUUUUUCAUUAAUUAAAAAAGUUGAUUUAUGGAACACAUUGCACAAGUAAUAAGCAUAAUUUGUAUGAAAAUAAGAAAUUCUGGAGACUAGCCAUAUCUUAAAACAUUGGUUUUGAUAACUUAUUAUUCUUCUACAACCCUGUUGAUAAGAUUCUCCUCUCGGAAUCGGCACUAUUAAGUAGAUGUAAGAAUUAUUAUCGAUAAAAUUGGAAAGCGGACGAAAGAACAGUAUUAAUGACUUUAGCCGUAUUUGAUGGAGCCUCAACAUACGUCCAGAAUAGGAUGCUGCAAAUAUUUUCUAUCAAAUCUCAUCGAAGCUGACAAUGAAUCUUCACCACUUUCUCAAGGAAAAUAUAACUUUUGCCACUGUAUCAUCAGAA